GGUGUGGAGUUGGAGGAAGGAUGUGAGUGCUGGGCUGCUGCUGUCCCCUAUCCCCAUGGCAGGACAAUGUUUUGCACUAGAGCCUUGAAGACAAAUGAGACCAGUCGGGUGCCAAGAGCAAAGAGAGGCAGAGGAGGGAAAGGGCCCCUUGGAAAGCCACAGGAGGAGGAAGGCCAGAAGCGCUGUUUGCAGGGAUGCGGUUCCUGCUGCCGUCUCACCAGCAGACAUGGAAACAGCCCAGCAGCAAGGACGUGAGGACCCCAGACUAUUCUGCACCCCAUGGAGAAGAAAGCCUAUGCAGCCGUUUGUGUGUUGUUCCUUGAUGCACUGUUCCAGGCAGAUGGAUUUGGGAAGUUUUAGUUGCCCAUCUUCAUAUUAAAAACGUGAGCAAAAUGAUUUCCAGCCACAAAGGCUACACUUACGAACUAGUCAAUCUAACAUGAAUACAUUGAACAUUCAAAAUGGGCAUGAAAACCAGAUAUAAAUUCCAGUUUAAGGCUAAAACCCUGUUUGCAGACACUGGAAGCCUGCUUUCCCCCUGUCGAAUCCUCAUUAAAGCAGAUGGACACAAACCAUCCCAGCUCAGUGGCAAUGUGGGGUCAGGGGAUUUACCUCUGCUGAGGCUCCCAGCCAAACCAGCC
rnacentral:lncRNA from 14 species